UACGAAGGGGGCUAGCGUUGUUCGGAAUUACUGGGCGUAAAGCGCGCGCAGGCGGUUUUUCAAGUCAGGGGUGAAAUCCUGGAGCUCAACUCCAGAACUGCCUUUGAUACUGAAGAUCUUGAGUUCGGGAGAGGUGAGUGGAACUGCGAGUGUAGAGGUGAAAUUCGUAGAUAUUCGCAAGAACACCAGUGGCGAAGGCGGCUCACUGGCCCGAUACUGACGCUGAGGCACGAAAGCGUGGGGAGCAAACAGG
rnacentral:rRNA from 1 species